rnacentral:rRNA from 1 species
GACGAACGCUGGCGGCGUGCUUAACACAUGCAAGUCGAACGGAAAGGCCCUGCUUUUGUGGGGUGCUCGAGUGGCGAACGGGUGAGUAACACGUGAGUAACCUGCCCUUGACUUUGGGAUAACUUCAGGAAACUGGGGCUAAUACCGGAUAGGAGCUCCUGCUGCAUGGUGGUGGUUGGAAAGUUUCGGCGGUUGGGGAUGGACUCGCGGCUUAUCAGCUUGUUGGUGGGGUAGUGGCUUACCAAGGCUUUGACGGGUAGCCGGCCUGAGAGGGUGACCGGCCACAUUGGGACUGAGAUACGGCCCAGACUCCUACGGGAGGCAGCAGUGGGGAAUAUUGCACAAUGGGCGGCAGCCUGAUGCAGCAACGCCGCGUGCGGGAUGACGGCCUUCGGGUUGUAAACCGCUUUCGCAUGUGACGAAGCGUGAGUGACGGUAAUGGGUAAAGACGCACCGGCUAACUACGUG